GCCUUCGUGGUGUAGUGAUCAACACGCUCGACGCGUAUUCGAGAGGUCCAUGGUUCGAGCCCCGGCGAGGGCA
rnacentral:tRNA from 1 species